rnacentral:rRNA from 1 species
GUUUGAUCCUGGCUCAGAGCGAACGCUGGCGGCAGGCUUAACACAUGCAAGUCGAGCGGGCAUAGCAAUAUGUCAGCGGCAGACGGGUGAGUAACGCGUGGGAACGUACCUUUUGGUUCGGAACAACACAGGGAAACUUGUGCUAAUACCGGAUAAGCCCUUACGGGGAAAGAUUUAUCGCCGAAAGAUCGGCCCGCGUCUGAUUAGCUAGUUGGUGAGGUAAUGGCUCACCAAGGCGACGAUCAGUAGCUGGUCUGAGAGGAUGAUCAGCCACAUUGGGACUGAGACACGGCCCAAACUCCUACGGGAGGCAGCAGUGGGGAAUAUUGGACAAUGGGCGCAAGCCUGAUC